rnacentral:rRNA from 1 species
AGAGUUUGAUUCUGGCUCAGAACGAACGCUGGCGGCGUGGAUAAGACAUGCAAGUCGAACGGAUUUGUUUGCGUAGCAAUACGUGAGCAGGUCAGUGGCGCAAGGGUGCGUAACACGUGGGCAACCUGCCCUGGAGUCUGGGAUAGCCCGCCGAAAGGCGGAUUAAUACCGGAUGUGGCUACUGCUUGAUUAAGCAGGACGCUAAAGGUGGCGCAAGCUGCCGCUCUUGGAUGGGCCCGCGGCCUAUCAGCUCGUUGGUGAGGUAACGGCUCACCAAGGCUAUGACGGGUAGCUGGUCUGAGAGGACGACCAGCCACACUGGAACUGAGACACGGUCCAGACACCUACGGGUGGCAGCAGUCGAGAAUUUUUCGCAAUGGGGGCAACCCUGACGGAGCGACGCCGCGUGGAGGAUGAAGGUCUUCGGAUUGUAAACUCCUGUCAUUGGUGAACAAGGUGCUCCGAUUAACUGUCGGGGUAAUUGCUAGUAGCCGAAGAGGAAGGGACGGCUAACUCUGUGCCAGCAGCCGCGGUAACACAGAGGUCCCGAGCGUUGUUCGGAUUCAUUGGGCGUAAAGGGUGCGUAGGCGGCCGCCUAAGUUUGAUGUGAAAUCCCGGGGCUCAACCCUGGAAUUGCAUUGAAUACUGGGUGGCUAGAGUACUGGAGAGGAAACUGGAAUUUACGGUGUAGCAGUGAAAUGCGUAGAGAUCGUAAGGAAGACCAGUGGCGAAGGCGAGUUACUGGACAGUUACUGACGCUGAGGCACGAAGGCCAGGGGAGCAAACGGGAUUAGAUACCCCGGUAGUCCUGGCAGUAAACGGUGCAUGUUUGGUGUGGGAGGAAUCGACCCCUUCCGUGCCGGAGCUAACGCGUUAAACAUGCCGCCUGGGGAGUACGGUCGCAAGAUUAAAACUCAAAGAAAUUGACGGGGGCCCGCACAAGCGGUGGAGUAUGUGGCUUAAUUCGAUCCACGCGAAGAACCUUACCUGGGCUUGACAUGCAUCUCUAAGUCGGUGAAAGCCGGCGAGUGGAGCAAUCCACAAUUUGCACAGGUGCUGCAUGGCUGUCGUCAGCUCGUGUCGUGAGAUGUUGGGUUAAGUCCCGCAACGAGCGCAACCCUUGUGGCCUUUGCCACCCACCUUUUGGUGGAGCACUCUGGCCAGACUGCCCUGUGAAACGGGGAGGAAGGUGAGGAUGACGUCAAGUCAGCAUGGCCCUUACGCCCAGGGCUGCACACGUACUACAAUGCACAGUACAGAAGGAGCCGAGACCGCGAGGUGGAGGAAAUCACGAAAACUGUGCCCAAUUCGGAUCGCAGGCUGCAACUCGCCUGCGUGAAGCCGGAAUCGCUAGUAAUGGCGCAUCAGCUACGGCGCCGUGAAUACGUUCCCGGGCCUUGUACACACCGCCCGUCACAUCAUGGGAGUCGUUUGUACCCGAAGCCGACCGCAAGGCCGUCUAAGGUAUGAGCGGUAACUGGGAUGAAGUCGAAACAAGGUA